CAUCUCCGGGGGUAGAGCACUGUUUCGGCCAGGGGGCCAUCCCGGCUUACCAACCCGAUGCAAACUGCGAAUACCGGAGAAUGUUAUCACGGGAGACACACGGCGGGUGCUAACGUCCGUCGUGAAGAGGGAAACAACCCAGACCGCCAGCUAAGGUCCCAAAGUCAUGGUUAAGUGGGAAACGAUGUGGGAAGGCCCAGACAGCCAGGAUGUUGGCUUAGAAGCAGCCAUCAUUUAAAGAAAGCGUAAUAGCUCACUGGUCGAGUCGGCCUGCGCGGAAGAUGUAACGGGGCUAAACCAUGCACCGAAGCUGCGGCAGCGANNGUUGGGUAGGGGAGCGUUCUGUAAGCCUGCGAAGGUGGCCUGUGAGGGUUGCUGGAGGUAUCAGAAGUGCGAAUGCUGACAUAAGUAACGAUAAUGCGGGUGAAAAACCCGCACGCCGGAAGACCAAGGGUUCCUGUCCAACGUUAAUCGGGGCAGGGUGAGUCGACCCCUAAGGCGAGGCCGAAAGGCGUAGUCGAUGGGAAACAGGUUAAUAUUCCUGUACCUGGUGUUACUGCGAAGGGGGGACGGAGAAGGCUAUGUUGGCCGGGCGACGGUUGUCCCGGUUUAAGCGUGUAGGCUGGUUUUCCAGGCAAAUCCGGAAAAUCAAGGCUGAGGCGUGACGACGAGGCACUACGGUGCUGAAGCAACAAAUGCCCUGCUUCCAGGAAAAGCCUCUAAGCCUCAGGUAACAUCAGAUCGUACCCGAAACCGACACAGGUGGUCAGGUAGAGAAUACCAAGGCGCUUGAGAGAACCCGGGUGAAGGAACUAGGCAAAAUGGUGCCGUAACUUCGGGAGAAGGCACGCUGACACGUAGGUGAAGCGGUUUACCCGUGAAGCCGAAGUCAGUCGAAGAUACCAGCUGGCUGCAACUGUUUAUUAAAAACACAGCACUGUGCAAACACGAAAGUGGACGUAUACGGUGUGACGCCUGCCCGGUGCCGGAAGGUUAAUUGAUGGGGUCAGCGCAAGCGAAGCUCCUGAUCGAAGCCCCGGUAAACGGCGGCCGUAACUAUAACGGUCCUAAGGUAGCGAAAUUCCUUGUCGGGUAAGUUCCGACCUGCACGAAUGGCGUAAUGAUGGCCAGGCUGUCUCCACCCGGGACUCAGUGAAAUUGAACUCGCUGUGAAGAUGCAGUGUACCCGCGGCAAGACGGAAAGACCCCGUGAACCUUUACUAUAGCUUGACACUGAACACUGGUCCUUGAUGUGCAGGAUAGGUGGGAGGCUUUGAAGUGUGGACGCCAGUCUGCAUGGAGCCGUCCUUGAAAUACCACCCUUUAAUGGCUGGUGUUCUAACGUAGACCCGUGAACCGGGUUGCGGACAGUGUCUGGUGGGUAGUUUGACUGGGGCGGUCUCCUCCUAAAGCGUAACGGAGGAGCACGAAGGUUGGCUAAUCCUGGUCGGACAUCAGGAGGUUAGUGCAAUGGCAUAAGCCAGCUUGACUGCGAGCGUGACGGCGCGAGCAGGUGCGAAAGCAGGUCAUAGUGAUCCGGUGGUUCUGAAUGGAAGGGCCAUCGCUCAACGGAUAAAAGGUACUCCGGGGAUAACAGGCUGAUACCGCCCAAGAGUUCAUAUCGACGGCGGUGUUUGGCACCUCGAUGUCGGCUCAUCACAUCCUGGGGCUGAAGUAGGUCCCAAGGGUAUGGCUGUUCGCCAUUUAAAGUGGUACGCGAGCUGGGUUUAGAACGUCGUGAGACAGUUCGGUCCCUAUCUGCCGUGGGCGCUGGAGAACUGAGGGGGGCUGCUCCUAGUACGAGAGGACCGGAGUGGACGCAUCACUGGUGUUCGGGUUGUCAUGCCAAUGGCACUGCCCGGUAGCUAAAUGCGGAAGAGAUAAGUGCUGAAAGCAUCUAAGCACGAAACUUGCCCCGAGAUGAGUUCUCCCUGAGACUACAAGUCUCCUGAAGGAACGUUGAAGACGACGACGUUGAUAGGCCGGGUGUGUAAGCGCAGCGAUGCGUUGAGCUAACCGGUACUAAUGAACCGUGAGGCUUAACCUUACAACGCCGAAG
rnacentral:rRNA from 1 species